UACGGAGGGUGCAAACGUUGUUCGGAAUUACUGGGCGUAAAGGGCUCGUAGGUGGCCAACUAAGUCAGACGUGAAAUCCCUCGGCUUAACCGGGGAACUGCGUCUGAUACUGGAUGGCUUGAGUUCGGGAGAGGGAUGCGGAAUUCCAGGUGUAGCGGUGAAAUGCGUAGAUAUCUGGAGGAACACCGGUGGCGAAGGCGGCAUCCUGGACCGAUACUGACGCUGAGGAGCGAAAGCCAGGGGAGCAAACGGG
rnacentral:rRNA from 1 species